UACGGAGGAUCCAAGCGUUAUCCGGAUUUAUUGGGUUUAAAGGGUGCGUAGGCGGCUUAUUAAGUCAGGGGUGAAAGACGGUGGCUCAACCAUCGCAGUGCCUUUGAUACUGAUGAGCUUGAAUGUAGUUGAGGUAGGCGGAAUGAGACAAGUAGCGGUGAAAUGCAUAGAUAUGUCUCAGAACACCGAUUGCGAAGGCAGCUUACUAAACUAUAAUUGACGCUGAUGCACGAAAGCGUGGGGAUCAAACAGG
rnacentral:rRNA from 1 species